rnacentral:rRNA from 1 species
GAUAAACGCUGGCGGCGUGCUUAACACAUGCAAGUCGAGAGGGUUUAGACCCUCGGCAAACGGGUGAGUAACGCGUAGGAAUCUGCCUUAGAGUCUCGGAUAACCCAUCGAAAGGUGGGAUAAUACGAGAUAGUCUCCGACGCAAGUCGGAGUAAAGAUUUAUUGCUCUAAGAGGAGCCUGCGUCCUAUCAGCUUGUUGGUAAGGUAAAAGCUUACCAAGGCAAUGACGGGUAGCUGGAUCGAGAGGUUGACCAGCCACAAUGGGACUGAGACACGGCCCAUACUCCUACGGGAGGCUG